UACGAAGGGGCUAGCGUUGUUCGGAAUUACUGGGCGUAAAGCGCACGUAGGCGGAUUUGUAAGUCAGGGGUGAAAUCCCGGGGCUCAACCUCGGAACUGCCUUUGAUACUUGCAAGUCUCGAGUCCGAUAGAGGUGAGUGGAAUUCCUAGUGUAGAGGUGAAAUUCGUAGAUAUUAGGAAGAACACCAGUGGCGAAGGCGGCUCACUGGAUCGGUACUGACGCUGAGGUGCGAAAGCGUGGGGAGCAAACAGG
rnacentral:rRNA from 1 species